GUACCCAAUUGUGGUGGAGGUAUAGGUAUUCUGAGACGUCACAUUUACAUUUGCCUUAAGAGUUGCUAUGUUUUAAAGUAUCUUCUAACUUAAAAACGAUGUUUGUGGGUAAUAUCACUGCAAACCCUCACGAGACAACACUCGUCCACUAGGGUAACCUAGGGGUUUAACGGCUUGUUGCACGUGCUAAGUGCAAUCGUAAUGCUCUACGAAAGUGAGUCUUUAUUUUAAUUCAUGCAUAUUGAUAUAUAUAUAUAUAUAUUAAUAAAAUAAACAAUACUUUUGCACCCUCAUUUUAUCAUUUUCAAACUAAAUUGCUAGAGACUAGCAAUAAGCUAGUUGGAGGGUGUGAUGAGAGUACAAAAGUGAAAUUUUCAUAUUAUCUUAAUUAGUAUUAUAGCUAAUCUUUAUUAAUAAAAUUAAUUAAUUAAUGCUUUAUCUGUGUCUGAGUGCAUGUAAUUCAAAACACCCUAUAAUGCUGGAUUUUAGCCCAAUGCCCGGUAGUUCGAGCUCAACAAAUCCUUAGCGUCUCAUCUGAGCCUCACGUCGCCUGUCAUCCGCAUGCAAUCCAUAUCACUGUAACCACAUGUUUCAGCUAGCACAAAUACCCGCAUCGUGGAGCUUCCUAGCAUCAUCAAAACCAUCCAUGUGGCUUUCCAAGCAUCAUGGCAUCUCCUCCAUGGAACCUAAAUCAAACCCAAGGGACCUAA
rnacentral:lncRNA from 1 species